GGGUACCUGCGGAGGGAUCAUUACAAGUGACCCCGGUCUAACCACCGGGAUGUUCAUAACCCUUUGUUGUCCGACUCUGUUGCCUCCGGGGCGACCCUGCCUUCGGGCGGGGGCUCCGGGUGGACACUUCAAACUCUUGCGUAACUUUGCAGUCUGAGUAAACUUAAUUAAUAAAUUAAAACUUUUAACAACGGAUCUCUUGGUUCUGGCAUCGAUGAAGAACGCAGCGAAAUGCGAUAAGUAAUGUGAAUUGCAGAAUUCAGUGAAUCAUCGAAUCUUUGAACGCACAUUGCGCCCCCUGGUAUUCCGGGGGGCAUGCCUGUUCGAGCGUCAUUUCACCACUCAAGCCUCGCUUGGUAUUGGGCAACGCGGUCCGCCGCGUGCCUCAAAUCGACCGGCUGGGUCUUCUGUCCCCUAAGCGUUGUGGAAACUAUUCGCUAAAGGGUGCUCGGGAGGCUACGCCGUAAAACAAACCCAUUUCUAAGGUUGACCUCGGAUCAGGUAGGGAUACCCGCUGAACUUAAGCAUAUCAUAAGCCGGAGGA
rnacentral:rRNA from 1 species